CUCCCAAACCUUUGUGAACAUACCACUGUUGCUUCGGCGGACGCGCCGGGUGUUCCCCGAGCAUCCGGAGCCAACGCGGCCGCCGAGGGUACCAAACUCUUGCUUUUAUAGCGGACUUUCUGAGUACAAAACAUAAAUGAAUUAAAACUUUCAGCAACGGAUCUCUUGGCUCUGGCAUCGAUGAAGAACGCAGCGAAAUGCGAUAAGUAAUGUGAAUUGCAGAAUUCAGUGAAUCAUCGAAUCUUUGAACGCACAUUGCGCCCUCCAGUAUUCUGGUGGGCAUGCCUGUCCGAGCGUCAUUUCAACCCUCAGGCCCGGCCUGGUGUUGGGGAUUGGCCUUCACGGCCAGCCCCGAAAUGCAGUGGCGGCCCUCCGCAACUCCUCUGUGUAGUAGUGAUACCCGCAUUGGAUAGUGGUUGCGCCUCGCCGUAAAACCUCCAACUUCUCAAGGUUGACCUCGGAUCAGGUAGGAAUACCCGCUGAACUUAAGCAUAUCAAUAAGCGGAGGAAAAGAAACCAACAGGGAUUGCCUCAGUAACGGCGAGUGAAGCGGCAACAGCUCAAAUUUGAAAUCUGGCCCUCGGGUCCGAAUUGUAAUUUGUAGAGGAUGUUUCUGGCGACGUGUCUUCCGAGUUCCCUGGAACGGGACGCCAUAGAGGGUGAGAGCCCCGUCCGGUCGUACGCCUAGCCUCUGUGAAACUCCUUCGACGAGUCGAGUAGUUUGGGAAUGCUGCUCAAAAUGGGAGGUAUACGUCUUCUAAAGCUAAAUACCGGCCAGAGACCGAUAGCGCACAAGUAGAGUGAUCGAAAGAUGAAAAGCACUUUGAAAAGAGGGUUAAAUAGUACGUGAAAUUGCUGAAAGGGAAGCGUUUAUGACCAGACUUGGGCUCGGUGAAUCAUCCGGCGUUCUCGCCGGUGCACUUUGCCGGUCCAGGCCAGCAUCAGCUCGCCCCGGGGGAUAAAGGCUUCGGGAAUGUAGCUUCUUCGGAAGUGUUAUAGACCGUUGCGUAAUA
rnacentral:rRNA from 1 species